rnacentral:RNase_P_RNA from 2 species
AAAGCAGAUCGCCUUAUCGCCUUGAUUUAGAUCAGGGAGGAAAGUCCGGACACCAUAGGGCAGUAUAGUGGGUAACACCCACCGAUCUUAACUCCGGUUUUACCGGAAGUGGGAUCAGGACCAGUGCAACAGAAAGUAUGUACAGAUAAUGCUGUAGUGAAACCAGGUAAACUCUAUGCGGUGCAAUGCCAUGUAUACCGGUAUUUAAGGGCGGCCCGUCCGUUGCCGGAGGGUAGGCAGCUAAAGGUUUUUGGCAACAAAAAUCUCAGAUAAAUGAUAAGGGUCCCGGAGUUUUUCGGGAUACAGAAUCCGGAUUAUAGAUCUGCUUUUUUU